rnacentral:lncRNA from 1 species
UCGCCUCAGGGGCGGUGGGCGGGCUCGGGGCCGGCUAGAGGGCGGCAGGAGCCGGCCCCUGGGGCGGGGGAAGGCUGAGGGGGCAUAUUGCCAUUAUCCCCCGUGAUUUGGGGUCGUGGUGAGGUGUUUUCGGCCAGCUGGAAGCAAGCAAGAAUGUCAGAGCCUGAACCUCCAGAAUCUGUGAUGGAGUGGCAACGCAGAAGGAUAUAGCCAACAUCUUUCACGCAAGGCACGGAGGAAUGUUUGCAUCCCAUCCCAAGGCAGCUGCCGGCCCUGACCCCCCAUGGCUUUGGGGGUUUGCGAGGUGCCUCAGAAACCCAUUUCGGGUUCACAGCCCCAGCGGUGCCCAGCGGCUGAAGUCGACGCUGCUGCCAGAAGGGCCGGUCUCGCGCCCACCACAUCUCCUUGGGCCAGCCCUGGCAUCCACACGGCCACUCAGCCAGCCAGCACGCUGAACGUCCUGCAGAUUAACCCUACGGAAGGGAGAACAAGGAGGGAGGAUUGCUCCGAGACCAAGCGGCCCCCUGUGCCACGGGCCGCGCAGCCAAAGAAGCACAAGUGUCAGCGCAGGGGAGAGAGCAAGGGCGUGCGGCCGGCUGGGGGAGCUGCCUUCUGGCAGGAGCCCAGGGUGACAGGGUGGCUCCAGAGACCACAGGACAGCCGGUCGCCUCGUGUCAGAAAUCCUGUCUUCCAAGAACGACAAAACGUUGCCUCGCCCUUCACUUCUCCGGUAUUUUGUUUAUCCUGCUGUGGACACCAGCAGAUCUUAUCCCGUCCUUUGCAGCUAUUUUUAACCUGGACGUGUUCUGUGAUUUGUUUCACGCACAGCACUGAAAUGGCACAGCUGAGGGGAUUCAUCAGCAAAGCCCAGCUUUGCCAGGAAAAGCUGCAUCCCCGUGAGGACCUCUCUGCUGCUGUAACGCAGCAAAGCUUUGAUCACUUUCUGCUGGGGAAGGCUGCUUUGCAAGGAGAGAGGCAGGGCACAGGAGUCAACGCUUAUAACCAGGAUCGUGCUGCAUUGGACUCUGAACAAGGAACAAAACAUGCAUGCUCCAAGGAGUUUUGA